GACGAACCGUGCGAACGUUAUUCGGAAUCACUGGGCUUAAAGCGCGUGUAGGCGGGACGGCACGUCUGUCGCUGAAAUCCCCCGGCUUAACCGGGGAACUGGCGGAGAUACGACCGUCCUGGAGGGGCGUAGGGGGACCUGGAACUUCCGGUGGAGCGGUGAAAUGCGUUGAGAUCGGAAGGAACGCCCGUGGCGAAAGCGAGGUCCUGGACGCCUACUGACGCUGAGACGCGAAAGCGUGGGUAGCAAACAGG
rnacentral:rRNA from 1 species